UAUGCACCUUGUUUGCCUUGGAGUAGUGAGACGCAUUCUUAAUUACCUGUGCAGAGUCCCUAAUCCUCGAAGACUGUCUCCGAGACAAAAAGCUAACCUCAACAGUGAACUCAUUAGAUUGAGGAACGCAAUGCCCAGUGAGAUGGCGAGGAAGCCCAGAUCCCUUCAGGAGUUGGAGAGAUGGAAAGCCACUGAGUUCAGACAGUUUUUGCUAUACACCGGACCAGUGGUACUCCAUGGAAUUGUGGACUCGGAUUUGUACCACCACUUCCUUUGCCUGACAAUUGGAAUGUCAAUCCUUCAUACUGCAGAUCAUGAGCGGAGAAACCACUUCCUGCCAUAUGCAGCAGACCUCCUCAAUCAUUUUGUAAUCAACAGCUCUGAGGUCUAUGGAAAUGAAUUCACUGUCUACAAUGUGCAUGCCAUGAAGCACCUCCAUGAAGAUGUUUCACAUUUUGAUUGCUCAUUAAAUGACAUAUCUGCUUUCCCUUUUGAGAACCAGCUUAAAACCAUAAAGAAGCUUGUCAAGACCAGCCAUAACCCUUUGGUGCAAGUGGCAAAGCGUAUGGCAGAGAAGGAUCAUUCACAAAAAAAUAUGAAACAGAAGCAAUAUCACCUGCAGCCAGUGUCAGGAAAGCAGAGGGACAGCUGCUUUUUGCUCCAAGAUGGAAGUGUAGCUUUUGUGACCGAAAAAAAAAAACAGAUGGCAAAUUGGUUUGCAGUGUCUAUCCAUAUCACCAAACCUCCAACCUCUUUGAAAAGCCUUGCCAGUCCAAACUCCUGGACAUUGCUUUCGUUGGCAGUACUCACAGGAUGGCUACAACACAGCUACAUGAAAGCCAGGACUUGAAAACAAAAGCUGUAUGUCUACCACAUUGUGGAGGAUAUGCCAUCUUCCCUUUGUUGCAUGAUACUGAAUGAAGAUUUUUUAUUUUUUUUAACUUAUUUUUCAUUUUUUUUUAUUUGUUUGACCAGGGAUUUAUUUAUUUAAAAUAAUCUUUAUUUAUUUAUUUAUUUAUUUAUUUAUGUUGCCCUUUUGAAGUUUCAGACAUGGUUUUUGCAAGGGCUGUUUGGAU
ensembl:lncRNA